GAUGAACGCUAGCGUAUAGGCUUAACACAUGCAAGUCGAGGGGCAUCACGGAAUAGCAAUAUUUGGUGGCGACCGGCGCACGGGUGAGUAACACGUAUCCAACCUUCCCAUGAACUCGGGGAUAGCCUUUCGAAAGAAAGAUUAAUACCCGAUAGUACUUUUUUGAGGCAUCUUAAGAAAGUUAAAGAUUUAUUGGUUAUGGAUGGGGAUGCGUUCCAUUAGAUUGUUGGUGAGGUAACGGCUCACCAAGUCUUCGAUGGAUAGGGGUUCUGAGAGGAAGGUCCCCCACAUUGGUACUGAGACACGGACCAAACUCCCUACGGGAGGCAGCAGUGAGGAAUAUUGGUCAAUGGGCGAGAGCCUGAACCAGCCAAGUAGCGUGAAGGAUGAAGGUCCUAUGGAUUGUAAACUUCUUUUAUAGUAGAAUAAAGUGAUCCACGUGUGGAUUUUUGUAUGUAUACUAUGAAUAAGGAUCGGCUAACUCCGUG
rnacentral:rRNA from 1 species